UACGGAGGGGGCUAGCGUUGUUCGGAAUUACUGGGCGUAAAGCGCACGUAGGCGGCUUUGUAAGUUAGAGGUGAAAGCCCGGGGCUCAACUCCGGAAUUGCCUUUAAGACUGCAUCGCUUGAAUCCGGGAGAGGUGAGUGGAAUUCCGAGUGUAGAGGUGAAAUUCGUAGAUAUUCGGAAGAACACCAGUGGCGAAGGCGGCUCACUGGCCCGAUACUGACGCUGAGGCACGAAAGCGUGGGGAGCAAACAGG
rnacentral:rRNA from 1 species